rnacentral:lncRNA from 1 species
AAGCCUGUCGGAAGUUCUGGAGGCCCAGACUUGGGACUGGUCAGUAGCCAGGGACCGAGUGGGGCAGUUGUUGGGGAUGUCUUGGGGAGUGAAUAAAUGGCAAUAAAGAGCUCUUUAGAAUAGAAUUCAAUAAUAUAUUUAGAAAAAAGAAUGGAAUUGUAACCCAAUCAUAGGUUCAGCAGCCCGCUGCUAAGAUUGCACUUGGUGACAGCCUGGGUGACAGAGUACGACUCUGUCUCCAAAAAAAAAAAAAAAAGAUUAACAGUCUUUGCCAAAGGGGUAAACUUCUUUUGUUGUUGUUAUUUGGUUUUGUUUUUAAUAAAAUAAUUAAAACAGCAAAACAUAAACCUUAAGCUAUUCAAAUAGCAUUUUCAGUUAGAAAUAAAAUGGAGAAAAAUGACAAAUAGUAUCCAUAAAGUUUGAUGAUUGCCAUAAUAGCAAAUGCA